UUGUUCCGCGGCUCCAGGGGGCCUGGGCGCUGAGGGAGAAUCCCGCUGAGGGGGCCGGGAGGAGGAGGAGAGGGAGGCGCCGAAGGGCACAAGAGUGGGGAAAAGUGAGGAAAGAAGCAACAGCCGCUCCACCCGGGACCAGAAAAGUGGCCGGCGCGUCCCGGCCGCCCGCCCUGCGCCGGGGAUGCGGCGGCGGCGGCGGCGGCUAACGGUCCAGGGAGGCGGCAGGGGCGGCGGGAGCCGCUAGGCGGAGAGAGACCAGAAAUCCUCACCCAGAAGUCUCUGACCUUCUUGAGACUGGUGGAAAGAAAAACCCUGGGAUUCCACAAAAACUCAAGACCAAACCUACUGACUGGUGCCCUCUCUAAGAAACAAAAUUGUAAUUUUCCUUGAAGUGGACAGCCUGGAAUUCCUCUGCACACUCAGUCAUGUGGACAGAGAGACCGAGUUACUGCAACUUGCUUCUUAAUGUAUAUGAAUUUCUUAGUUAAUGCAACAGAAUCUACUGAGUAGCUUUCACAUAAAAAGAACUCUGUCUGGAACUGGAAAGGUGCCUUGGGAUUGGGGACUGAGCUCUUGAUUUCUGAAGCCAUGUUACUGAUGGCUAGGAUGUCCCGUGCCAGCACUUUCCAGCCAGCGAUUGCUGUAUGUCAACCUGCCAAGGCUCUCAUUCCUGCACUCUGCCAACCUGCCUGGGUAUCCUCCUGUAAGACUUCUGAUGAGCAUUUAGAAGACAUACACUUACCAACCCUUCCCAGGUGUGAAACCCCAUGGAAAGACUGGCAUAUUUGCUACUUAAUGCAAUCUCCUCUUUACAACUAAUCCUCCGAGACAGGUUUCACAGGUGGAGAGUCACAACCUCUGAUUGACUUCAGUAUUUUUUAGUUGGUGUGCAGUAAUGGUACGUAUUUAUGGAAUUCAGAGUGA